rnacentral:rRNA from 1 species
GAUGAACGCUGGCGGCGUGCUUAACACAUGCAAGUCGAACGAUGAAGCCCAGCUUGCUGGGUGGAUUAGUGGCGAACGGGUGAGUAACACGUGAGCAACCUGCCCCUGACUCUGGGAUAGGCGCUGGAAACGGCGUCUAAUACUGGAUAUGUCCCGUCACCGCAUGGUGUGCGGGUGGAAAGAUUUUUCGGUUGGGGAUGGGCUCGCGGCCUAUCAGCUUGUUGGUGAGGUAAUGGCUCACCAAGGCGUCGACGGGUAGCCGGCCUGAGAGGGUGACCGGCCACACUGGGACUGAGACACGGCCCAGACUCCUACGGGAGGCAGCAGUGGGGAAUAUUGCACAAUGGGCGGAAGCCUGAUGCAGCAACGCCGCGUGAGGGAUGACGGCCUUCGGGUUGUAAACCUCUUUUAGCAGGGAAGAAGCGAAAGUGACGGUACCUGCAGAAAAAGCACCGGCUAACUACGUG